CAUUAAGAAGCUUGCACGAAGCAACAGCCCUUUAAUCUGCAGAAGGGGCCCUUCCCCCCUUAAUGA
rnacentral:tRNA from 1 species